rnacentral:misc_RNA from 1 species
AAGUCGUAACAAGGUGAUCCUCCAGUUGCAUCACACUACUGGAAGCCUUAGCUGCCUGCCUAGCGCAGGUGCCCAGAACGACUUCAUUUGCUAGACAAGGAAACAACAAGCAAAUGGCUAAACAAAUACUGGAGCUUGAAAGCUAGUUUGUGCAUGCGCUCAUACACAGACAAUACUACGAAAUUGCAGAGAAGUCCUAACGUCGUUAGUGCUGCCGUCUCGGCCGCUGACGCCUGUACCAAUGGAUGAUCUGCAGC